AUGAUUAAAGAUAGCUUGCUAUUUUUAUGAAGAGCGGCGAACGGGUGAGUAACGCGUGGGAAAUCUGCCGAGUAGCGGGGGACAACGUUUGGAAACGAACGCUAAUACCGCAUAACAAUGAGAAUCGCAUGAUUCUUAUUUAAAAGAAGCAAUUGCUUCACUACUUGAUGAUCCCGCGUUGUAUUAGCUAGUUGGUAGUGUAAAGGACUACCAAGGCGAUGAUACAUAGCCGACCUGAGAGGGUGAUCGGCCACACUGGGACUGAGACACGGCCCAGACUCCUACGGGAGGCAGCAGUAGGGAAUCUUCGGCAAUGGGGGCAACCCUGACCGAGCAACGCCGCGUGAGUGAAGAAGGUUUUCGGAUCGUAAAACUCUGUUGUUAGAGAAGAACGUUAAGUAGAGUG
rnacentral:rRNA from 1 species